rnacentral:rRNA from 1 species
GACAGAGGUGCCGAGCGUUAGGCGAAAUCACUGGGCUUAAAGCGUGUGUAGGCGGAUCGUUAAGUACCUUGUGAAAUCCCACGGCUCAACCGUGGAACUGCUGGGUAUACUGGCGGUCUUGAGCCACCUAGGGGCGAGCGGAACAAGCGGUGGAGCGGUGAAAUGCGUAGAUAUCGCUUGGAACGCCAACGGUGAAAACAGCUCGCUGGGGGUGUGCUGACGCUGAGACACGAAAGCCAGGGGAGCGAACGGG